CUGAAUAGUGUUUAUAGUUUUGAGGAAAGUGUUUGGAUGAGCUAUUGUGUAUUUGAAACCAGCUGAAUGAUUUUAGUAAGCAAUUGAGAAAAAUUGUUAAUGUAUCAGUCAGCUGUCUCCUCUUCAUUUCUUCCUCAUCUUUCAUCUUCAUUAGAUGUUGCCUUUCCUUUAUGCUCCCUUUGAGCCAUUAAUGCAUUAUUCAGUGUAGAACUGACUGAAUGAAGUCAGGGGUUGAGGAGAAAGUGAAUAAGGACAGAGUCUGUCUGUCCGCGCGCUCAGCGCCAAUCAAUGAGAGCCGUUGAGGAGUUUAAUUAAAGGGCGGGAACUCAUUCCGCGCGCGGCAAACACCGGUUCCCGCCCUGAGAGUGCGCGCGCUCAGGCUGCACUGGAUUCCUUCGCCUCAGAUCUUCUGUUCUUAUGUUGUUACAGCAGCUGAGAGGAUGCGGGUUCGAGUGCUGCUGAUCCUGAUCCUCACAUCUGUAUUAAUCACACAUGCUCAAGUGCUCAUGCGCAGAAGGCUGUGUUUUAAAGAGCUGAGCUCCAACACACGCGGUGUGACCUGGACGGAGCCGAAGGGAGCGUUUGACAGCUAUGUAGUCCUGUACAGCACGGACUCAGGUGAGAAAUCCUGUCUCUUCCCCCUUCUAGUGAUCAUCGCACAGAAUACUGGGAAUGUGACUCCGGCCGGGUCUGGAAGGGUCUUUCGGACCCCUCAGGAUAAAAGAGUAACACUCAGUAUAUGAAGUAUUAUGCUGUAUGAUUGGCUACAAAGAUGAAUCUUCUAAAUGUAACCUGGGAAAGUGUGUCCGUGUAAGAUGUUUGAUAGAAGAUGACUAGAUGGAUGUUUAAAGGAGUAGUUUACCCCAAAGAAAAUUUUAAUUCCUGAUCUUUACUCACUCCUAGAACAUCCUAGAUGUAGAUUUCUUUCUUCAGUCGAAGAGAAAUUAAAGUUUUGCAGGAAAACAUUCCAGGAGUUUUAUUUCUAAUCUAGUGCAGAGCUGCUCAAAUGUUUUAAUAUGAAGGGCCAAAAAUCAAACUUGAUUGAGAGCCAUCGGCCAGAAGUAAGUGUUGCAUUAUAUCAAACUAUAUUAAAUUAAAAUUAAUUAACUGAAAAAAAAAAAGUAAAAUAAUUACACAUACAUUUAGUCAUUUAGCAGACACUUUUAUCCAGAGCAGCAUCUCAUGGCUAUAAACAAAACUUUCAUUUAUGAACUAUAGUGUUAAUGAGACGUACUCUUACUAACCCUCGGCUGACAGAGACUGCUGCUGAACAGCUUGUGCUCUGCUCUAUUAAGUGAGAGGACACAUGUGCAUUCAUUCAUUCAUUCAUUCAUUCAUUCAUUCAGCUUGAGUCCAGAUCAGUGCCAGUGCUUGCUUUAUGAACUGCUGAGGAAUAGAUGAUGUGAAGAAAAGUAGGAGAUGUUUUCUUCACUUCAUCUUAUCUCAUGCAUCAUUCUGCAGGUUUCUUAGUGUUUAUUCUCUCUUCCACAAAUUAAUGUCCUAAAAGGUCUUAAAUCAAAGCAGAAUGUCAUGGCCUUAAAUGCUGCAUGAACUGCAAUAUAAUUAAUAUUUUACUCAGAGAUUUUGUUGUGUUUUCC
ensembl:lncRNA